rnacentral:rRNA from 1 species
UAGGGAAUAUUAGUAAUGGGCGAAAGCCUGAACUAGCAACACCGCGUGUGCGAAGAAGGCCUUCGGGUUGUAAAGCACUUUUUGAGAGGAUGGGGAAGGACGGUACUCUCAGAAUAAGUCUCGGCUAACUACGUGCCAGCAGCCGCGGUAACACGUAGGAGGCAAACGUUAUCCGGAUUUACUGGGCGUAAAGCGCGUGUAGGUGGUUUGGUAAGUAGAGCGUGAAAGCUCCUGGCUCAACUGGGAGAGGUCGUUCUAAACUGCCGGACUAGAGGAUGGUAGAGGGAGGUGUAAUUCCGGGUGUAGCGGUGGAAUGCGCAGAUAUCCGGAGGAACACCAGUGGCGAAAGCUGCCUCCUGGACCACUCCUGACACUCAGACGCGAAAGCUAGGGUAGCAAACG